rfam:Triticum aestivum genome assembly, contig: Triticum_aestivum_CS42_TGACv1_scaffold_645945_T_1BL-0.064220_3DS-0.063667
AAGGUACUCCCUCCGUCUCAAAAUUCUUGUCUUAAAUUUGUCUAGAUAUGGAUGUAUCUAACGCUAGAACGUGACUAAAUAAAUUCGUAUCUAGACAAAUCUAAAACAAGAAUUUUGAGACGGAGGGGUAGUAUCAU